rnacentral:rRNA from 1 species
GAUGAACGCUGGCGGCGUGCCUAAUACAUGCUAAGUCGAACGGAGAUACACUUGUAUUCGUACGGGAUGUAUUUCAGUGGCGAACGGGUGAGUAACACGUAGGUGACCUGCCCCGAAGAGGGGGAUAACAGUGCGAAAGCGCUGCUAAUACCCCAUGAGAUCAUCGAGGUUAGAGGCUUGAUGAUGAAAGGGAUGCUAUGCAUCCGCUUUGGGACGGGCCUGCGUCCCAUCAGCUAGUUGGUAGGGUAAAAGCCUACCAAGGCGACGACGGGUACGGGGCCUGAGAGGGUGACCCCCCACAAUGGAACUGAAACACGGUCCAUACACCUACGGGUGGCAGCAGUAGGGAAUAUUGCACAAUGGGCGCAAGCCUGAUGCAGCAACGCCGCGUGUGCGAAGAAGGCCUUCGGGUUGUAAAGCACUUUUCGGGGAGAAGAGGAAGGACGGUAUCCCCGGAAUAAGGUUCGGCUAACUACGUG